rnacentral:rRNA from 1 species
UACGUAGGGGGCGAGCGUUGUCCGGAUUCAUUGGGCGUAAAGAGCUCGUAGGCGGUUCGGUAAGUCGGUUGUGAAAACUCCAGGCUCAACCUGGAGACGCCACCCGAUACUGCUGUGACUCGAGUCCGGUAGGGGACCACGGAAUUCCUGGUGUAGCGGUGAAAUGCGCAGAUAUCAGGAGGAACACCCGUGGCGAAGGCGGCUCUCUGGGACGGUACUGACGCUGAGACGCGAAAGCGUGGGGAGCGAACAGG